UACGGGGGGGGCAAGCGUUGUUCGGAAUUACUGGGCGUAAAGGGCUUGUAGGUGGCCAACUAAGUCAGACGUGAAAUCCCUCGGCUUAACCGGGGAACUGCGUCUGAUACUGGAUGGCUUGAGUGUGGGAGAGGGAUGCGGAAUUCCAGGUGUAGCGGUGAAAUGCGUAGAUAUCUGGAGGAACACCGGUGGCGAAGGCGGCAUCCUGGACCACGACUGACACUGAAACGCGAAAGCCAGGGGAGCAAACGGG
rnacentral:rRNA from 1 species